CGAAAGCCUGACGGAGCAACGCCGCGUGAGGGAUGAAGGCCUCUGGGCUGUAAACCCCUUUUCUCAAGGAAGAAGAUCUGACGGUACUUGAGGAAUAAGCCACGGCUAAUUCCGUGCCAGCAGCCGCGGUAAUACGGGAGUGGCAAGCGUUAUCCGGAAUUAUUGGGCGUAAAGCGUCCGCAGGCGGUUCUGUAAGUCUGCCGUUAAAGCGUGGAGCUUAACUCCAUUUCGGCGGUGGAAACUGCAGGACUUGAGUGUGGUAGGGGCAGAGGGAAUUUCCGGUGUAGCGGUGAAAUGCGUAGAUAUCGGGAAGAACACCAGUGGCGAAUGCGCUCUGCUGGGCCAUAACUGACGCUCAUGGACGAAAGCCAGGGGAGCG
rnacentral:rRNA from 1 species